GGGAGCGCGACUAAGUCGGCGCACUGGGGGAGGCCGGCCGACCCUUUGUCCUCGGCAGCUCCCGGGCUCCUGCCCUGUGCCCGGCACGCCUCGCCCUGCGCGCCCCGCUCGAGGUUUGCAAACUGUCCCGGAGUUCCAGAAGGUCCGAGAGAGAAUCCUCACAAUGGCGGAGCCCCGCCGGGACCUGGGAGCCCGCCGCGGGCCCCUCUUUCCCUGCAUCUGGGUAACUUAACGUGCAGCCGGAAUACGGGAGAGAGCUCAGAGUGCGGCGCGGGCUACUGGGCUGAAUGCUAAUGAUCCCCUCGGAAUCCAAACCCCUGGCGGGUGGGGAUGAAGAGCCAGAACCUUCACGGGGAGGAAAGACACGCUGUCAGUUUGUGCAGGAAAGCUGGGUUUCCGAGAGAAAGGCAGUGAUAAAGAGACACGUGUGUUUUUCCUAUUGUAGAAAGUGACAUCUGCGGAAAAGUCACUGUAUUUCCCCCGUUGGAAAAUCACGUUGUGGCGCCGAUUGCCCUGCUCUCUCCCUCCUUGGGGCUGACUGCACGAGUCGCCUAUGACCUAGCUACAGGGUUUCAACGGUGUUCAGAGCAUGGAAAACCCGAGCUACUUUUAGAUACACUGGUCAUAGAAUCUUAGACUGCGAAGAGACUUUGUUGCCUGAUUCAACUCUCUUCAAGUUCUGCAACUCCCGCCACCCCUUAGGUACUUGAAGGCGCAAAAUACCUGCAGGGACAGGGAGUCCUCUGUGCUUUUUGAAAAUCAACAUUGCCGAAAAGCAUUUCCUUCCACGUCUCCAUUGCUUUCGACUUCUGGACUUUACACAGUACAUUUAAUCUAACUUCCACAUGGUUAUCUGGUGAUAUUUUGGGGAGUUCAACCACCUGGAAGUCUCACCAAGAUCCUAUUGAAAAUCCCCUUUGUACCAAAGCCCAAGUCCCUCAAUUCAGAAAUGGGGAGCCACUGAGGCCCGCAGUGAUGAGAUAAAGAUAUUCACUUUUUGCUGAUGGGGAAGGGAGUCCAGACUUGACUUGCACAUGGAAAGCAAAGAUCCCAUAUUUGAGAAAUGAUAUAAGAGGAAGUGUCAUCUCUCUCUGGAUCAUGAAGAAUCAGGUGGAAAGGAUCAAGGAUAUACUAAGCAUUACCUGAAGAGGCUUCUGGGCAGGAGGAAUCCCCUUCAAAGGUCUCUCUGCCACAUGGCUAUCGAGUUGGUGCAGGCUGCUGGUUGGGUCCUCAGUCAGGACUGCUUGCAAAGGGGUACAAUUGGAACAAAUUCAAAGAAGCAGAUUCAAGAAGGAAGCAAUUCAAGAUGAACCCUGACUGAUGGGACAAAAGUGGCUAAGUACAGACAUGGGGAAGGGCUUUCCUAGCCAUGCAAAAGAAGGACAAGGAUGAGAGGUAAGAAUAAGCUUGGCCAUGUAGAGAUAGAGAGAGAGCAGGUGUAGGGCAAGAUGACUGAGGGGCAGAGCAACAAAGGAGCUUGAAGAUAGCUGAGGCCCAGUGUAGGUUAGAUGAGGAGUUCAGACUCUGCUCUAAUCCAAAUAAAAAGUAUUGGAGGGUUUGGGGUAGCAGAGUGACGUGUUUUGAUGUACACUGUGAACAGUCACUUUGUGACCCACCUUGCAGACUCUUCAAAGAAAUUUCCUAAAUACUGUUUCACACAUCACACUGCCUAUUCGAAAGCCUGAAAUGUCUCUUCAGUUUCAUCAGGAUAAAAUGACAAUUUUCUAAACAUUUUUCCUGCCCUUCCACAAUGUGGAGGCAAUGAACUUACCAAGUACAACUCUUACGAAGCACAAGUUCCCUUCCAUUCCAAUUCAUCUGAUCAGUAUCUUCCCAAACGUACUAUGUCCUUUCUUGCCCUUCACAGCCCCUCCCCUGAACCACUUCAUCCCUUGAUUCUUCUGCCCAGACUCUUCCCAUUCUGCUCCCAUUUAUCUGAACAUUUGUGUAACUGCACACAUCAUUCUUAAAUAGACUGUUUUCUACUUUAUGACCCAUUUGAUACUUUAAAUCUUUAUGUUUUGGUACAUAGGACCAAGCAAAUCAACCUAAGUUUGCUUAGGUUACAGGCCACUGUAAUUUUAUCUUUUUUCUUCUUCUAGUAUCACAAGUACAUAACUCUUAAUGUAAUAGACACCUUUAAAUCCUUGAAAAAUUGUGAUAUGACUCAUCUUUGAUCAACAUGUGCUUAUCUAUCAAAACAUUUGAUUUUUUUGCUAAACUUUGAAGGAAUAAGCACUUUUCUGGGGAGACUAGUUGAUCUGGGGUACAGUCUUUGAUAAUGAAAUAGAAAAUGAAAUUUUAAAAAUAUGUAGAGGGAAGGAGCCAAUGGCCUUGAACUCACUGGCAUAAUUUUUCAGAUUUCUGUCUAACAAUUCUGGAAUGUUCAGUGUUUUUCUUUGGGGAAAUAAAGAACAACAUCCAUGAAGGGAUCUAUUAAUUUGUCUGAGAUAGCUUCACCUCAAGCCCAAGAAUUUUAUAAAUGAGUGGGAUGAGUUCAUUUUCCUCCCGGAUAUCUAUUUGGAACAGAAAACAACCACUUGCUGGAGUUUAAAAAUAAAUCCACAUGGCCAGCCAUGGCCUUUUCCAGCACUUUCCAUCAACCUUAAGUC